rnacentral:rRNA from 1 species
UGGGGAAUAUUGCACAAUGGGCGCAAGCCUGAUGCAGCCAUGCCGCGUGUAUGAAGAAGGCCUUCGGGUUGUAAAGUACUUUCAGCGGGGAGGAAGGCGAUAAGGUUAAUAACCUUGUCGAUUGACGUUACCCGCAGAAGAAGCACCGGCUAACUCCGUGCCAGCAGCCGCGGUAAAACGGAGGGUGCAAGCGUUAAUCGGAAUUACUGGGCGUAAAGCGCACGCAGGCGGUCUGUCAAGUCGGAUGUGAAAUCCCCGGGCUCAACCUGGGAACUGCAUUCGAAACUGGCAGGCUAGAGUCUUGUAGAGGGGGGUAGAAUUCCAGGUGUAGCGGUGAAAUGCGUAGAGAUCUGGAGGAAUACCGGUGGCGAAGGCGGCCCCCUGGACAAAGACUGACGCUCAGGUGCGAAAGCGUGGGGAGCAAACA